rnacentral:lncRNA from 1 species
CCUAGUUUGUGUUGGAUGGGUGUGCGCAGGCAUGCUAGCAUGGUCUACCGUGCAUUCGAAGAUGAUGUGGAUGGUUGAAUGGAUUGAUCCAGUACGCCUGUUUGGAUUUGACUUUGCUCAAAGUGAUUGUGGUCGAGAGGAGAACAGUUCACGGCUUGAGGUACAAGGCCGUUGAUUGGGGUCAAUGGUGUUGACGGUCGGUGGAUUUGGAUGGUGCUCCAGCGUCUCGCUGAUUUGCGAAGGCUGUAUGAUAUAUGGGGUGGACGAAAAAGUAACCGAAGUCGUGCUCCGGCGCCUUGAAAAUCAAGGGUCGUAUGAUAUAUUGAUGGAUGGAAAAACUUAACUUUACCACUACUCCUAGGAAAACAUUUAAAGAUAUUGAAAGUGCUUUACAAGAAGAUAAAUGACUGAAAAAGAUAAGUUGCUCCGUGAGAGGCUUGUUUGGUCAGGGAUCCUUCGAAUGUUGCUAAGGUUCUUGUAUUUAUAGGAAGAAGAUGAAGCUUGUAAGGGCAUGAUCUGGGGAGCUGCAUCUGCCUUUUUCUUUUAGUGGCAUGUCCCUUGGACAUCUGGCUUUGGAUUUGUUUAUUUCAAGUGGCUUGAGUGGCUAACAGUCUGGAGGUAGUGGACGCGUCAGAAUCUUCACCCUCAGCCGAGCACUAUUCACGAGUGAGGUCGAGUCUUUAUCCCUCGUCCUAAUCUGAUUGGAGGAUGUUGGAAUUUUGGACAGAUGUCAGUAGG